GGAGAGGUGGCAGAGCGGUUGAAUGCGGCGGUCUUGAAAACCGCUUUCCGCGUAAUGCGGAACGGGGGUUCGAAUCCCUCCCUCUCCGCCA
rnacentral:tRNA from 1 species